rnacentral:rRNA from 1 species
GGAUACGCGGUGCGAGGCUGCGCGGGUGUACGGAGGGGGGAAUGGUUAUCCGGAAUUAUUGGGCGUAAAGCGGGCUGAGGGGGUUUUUUAAGGCUGAUGUGAAAGCCCACGGCUCAACCGUGGAGGGUCAUUGGAAACUGGAAAACUUGAGUGCAGAAGAGGAAAGUGGAAUUCCAUGUGUAGCGGUGAAAUGCGCAGAGAUAUGGAGGAACACCAGUGGCGAAGGCGACUUUCUGGUCUGCAACUGACGCUGAUGUGCGAAAGCGUGGGGAUCAAACAGGAUUAGAUACCCGAGUAGUC